GCAGUCAAAGUAGGCAAAUCCGCUUUGAUAAUGCUGGGAGGUGAUGGGGAGCGAAAUUUAGUAGCGAAGUAGCUGAUUUCACACUGUCAAGAAAAGUCUCUAUCGAGGUUAAAGGUACCCGUACCGCCAACCGACACAGGUGGGUGAGGAGAGUAUCCUAAGGCCAGCGAGAGAACUGUUGUUAAGGAACUCGGCAAAAUGACCCCGUAACUUAGGGAUAAGGGGUGCCACCAUCAGGUGGCCGCAGAGAAUAGGCCCAAGCGACUGUUUACCAAAAACAUAGGUUUCUGCUAAGUCGCAAGACGAUGUAUAGGAGCUGACGCCUGCCCGGUGCUGG
rnacentral:rRNA from 1 species